UUACGCGCCAUUCUUUUUACUUUUAACAUUACUGCUGGAAAUUAAAAGAAGCUAAGGGCUCGUCUUUAUUUACCCCCCCCUCCCCCGCAAAAAUAAAAAUAAAAAUUGCAAGGUCUGCUUCAUCUGCUUCUCUGAAAAUUGCAAGCUGGAAAUCCAACAAUUUCAUCUUCUUCUCUCAAAAUUGCAAAGUCUGGGUCUCUUAAAUUGCAAGAUCUAGUUCUCCACUCUGUCAUCGGGCUAAACUAUUAUCAGAUUUUGAUAUCAACUACAUUAUCAGGUUCAUCGAUUGGUGCUGAAUAGAGAUCCCAAAUUCACCAACUUUGUUGAGGUUCAUGUACUCAGCCGCAGCCAUGUUAGCGAUAUUUAAAUGCCUUAACUACGUUCCCUCAGUGGUGAGUCCUCAUAGUUUGAGAACCGUGUCUAUAUUUUUGGUGAUAUCGUUCUGUUGUUAUGGCUUUCAGUACUGUUUGAGUCAAUUGGGGGUUUGUCCCAAUGGCUCCUUGAUUUUGAUGUAUAGAGGCUUUGUCAGACUAGAGGGUUGGUAUGUAUAGACAUUCAAUAUAUUUGGGUUGUACAGUCUAGUAUUCUCCAGUAUUUCUCUUGAACCCGAUGUGGUAUAUCUCUUUGUUGU